ACAAAGAAAAAGAAAAUCAUACUGUCCCAGAUGGAAAUGGAGCGGAUUCAAGGAUCAGAAGAGAAACAAAAAUCUAGAAACUUUGUGAUGCGUUUAGUUGGCACUGUUGUGCGAUCUGUUCAAGAUGAUCAAAAAGAGCAGGAUAUUAAAAGCAUGGAAGCUGAGGUACAAGCUUUGGAAGAGCUCUCGAAGCAGCUGUUCCUGGAAAUAUACGAACUUCGUCAAGCUAAGGAAGCUGCUGCAUAUUCUCGAACAUGGAGAGGGCACAUUCAGAACUUGUUUG
rnacentral:misc_RNA from 1 species